AUUUAAUUGUUCUCAAUAAUUUGUUGAAUGUUGUUGGAACACGAUUUUGUAAAUUGAGAACAGUCCCUUAGCGAAUUUUGUAAGUUUAGAGCAAUCCCAUAAAUAGCUUGAUUAAAUUCGUGAUUUGGUUCUGAAUAAUAAUAUUCUCAAUAUUUUUACAUAUUCUGUUUGUUUAUUUACUGUUUGUUUAUUUACUGUUUGUUUACAACUUUAACCAGUUUGCACUAAAUUCUGUGCAGUACCCUUGGUCAUCUGGUCUCACUACCAGUUGGAUUUAGUUUGUGAAAUCGGCGGAUCUGAGCAAGUGUGUUGUUGUUCAUUGUGGUUUGACGGUUCAGCAGUAUACUCAAGCAAAAUUAUUGCUUAUCCUCAAGCAAACUUAUUGCAAAAGACCCUGCUGGAUCUACCCUAACUCUGCUCAACCCCGAUCAGCGAAACAAUUUUUGAAACCGCUGUGCUGUUAUCAAUCUGUGAACGGAACCCUUUCUAAGAAGAUUGUAUUUAUUAAUAAAGAUUUACGUUACUUAA